AAUUGCAGAAUUCAGUGAAUCAUCGAAUCUUUGAACGCACCUUGCACCCUUUGGUAUUCCGAAGGGUACACCCGGUUUGAGUGUCAUU
rnacentral:rRNA from 1 species